rnacentral:lncRNA from 1 species
UAAAAUUGAGACUGUCAGUCUCGGGAGUGAGCUAAAAUCAAAUAAUCUUGUGACUAUUGCAGUCUUCUUAGAAAAUAAUAAUUAUUACAAUCAGUAUAACAUACCAUGUACGUCAAAUACGAGUCAUAUUAUAAUCAUACCAUAAUCUUAAAAAAAAAAUACAUUUUAAUAUUUGUGGGACGAGUGGUUCACUAAACCCUAACCCAAAUUACUAGCAGCCUUUAGGCUCUCUUAAUUCCAACAGGUCUGGCGCUGAGAGAAUAAAGCUCGACCAGGGUCCUUACAUCCAGCCUAAACACUUGAUUCCCAACUAAGCCAGCGCCUAGAGAGCGUUGCUCGACCAUGUACCUUUCUCCGACAGUCAACUUUCACAGCCCAGAGAGUUAUACUCGACCAGGGCAAAAAUCCAUAAUAACCUUGUUACCUGUCUUUAAUCAUUACCGAUGCGCACGUGGUCCUAAUCUAACCUAUCAGGUGGCAUGUUCUACUAAGGCCUCAUCCCGAUAUCAUAAUCAACAUAUAUGAUAAUAAUCAUAAUCUACAAAAUCAUUCAACACAUAUCGAAAUAAAGAUUUAGAAUUUCAGGGAAAGUAAACAUGCAAUUUAUGUGGAGAAAUAAUAAUAAUAAUUGUAUUUAAUAUAACGUUAACUAUCAAUAUAACGAUAUAAUAUUACUAAUAAUAAUAUUAAAAUUAUUCUCAGUAAUUAAUAAUUAAAUAAAAUUAUUUAUAUUGCAAUACUAAUAAUUAUAUUAAACAUAAUUUCUAAAGUAGCAUAUUAAAUUUAGACUAAGCAAUAGUACAGAGAUUAUGUGACUUUAACUCACAGUUUUAACGCGUUCUGUAGUCCGCUCCUACACCUCGGGUGGAGCUGGCGGGAAGGCUGGAUUAUCUAGUCACAAAAAUAUUCAAUCAAUAGACAUUCUUAAAUUUUUCCUAGACCUAGACUCCUAGAGUAGAUUACCUAAAAUUAAUUUAGACUCGAGAAAUCUGUCGAAAACUCGGCAAAACUUUUCCUAAAUUACGAAUAUUUACCCCUGUAAAACGGGUCCAGAACCUGCUAAAGACACAUCAAAUAUGCUGGAAUUAAAUAACAUGAGCCAGGCCACAAGAACUGCAUUAUUAUUUUUCUGACUCCGUAACACCACAACACAAUUAAUUAAAUUCAAAUUAUUUCUUUUAAACUAGCCAUCACAAGCAAUUAAUAGCCACAAUAAUUUUCUAAUAUUAUAACAUAAUUUUCAGGGUCUAAAUAAAAUUAUAUCGAGUCGAAUUUGUAAUAUUUCACGUGUUUAGAAAACAGCUGGGUCCAGAAGCCGGUCCUGCCAACGGUGUCGGAAUUCGAAUCUGAAAGCGCCUACGCAAAGCUCAAGUUGCGGGAGUCCGGAAGGAUAAGAAUUUCGACCGGAAAGUGGCUGGAAGGCUCCGGAUCGAGGCUAGAAAAGUCUUGCUCCGGCGACACUUCCUAAGGCUGCCGAUGAGGAUUUUCCAGUGGAGGAGAGUCAUUUCUGGGGUUUCCGGGUAUGGGGAGUCCGUUUUCAGUGUCAGAUCGCCGAAAACACACCGGCAGGAGGCCGAACCUAUGAUGGCAGCCUCCUCACCCUUCUCGACGCCAGCAGAAAGGAAGGAGAAGGGGGAGCUGCUGAGCGGCGGGAGGGGAGGAGAGCGUUGGCGGCGGUACGCAAGCUGUGGGAAAGGUGGGGCUGCUUGCAGGAAGGAGAAGAAAAGGGGGAGGAAGAGAGGAAGAGGGAGGAAGGAAAAGAGGAGGAAGAGGGGAAAAGGAAAGGGAGAAAAGAGAGGGAAAGGGGAGGGGAAAGAAAAAGAAGAAGAAAAAAAGAAUUAAUAUUAUUAUUAUUAUUUAAGAAGAAAAUAUUGGAUAUUACAUUCUAUCCUUCUUAGAAAAAUAAUUCGACCUCGAAUUUUUAAAACACGGCUCACCUUAGGAUUGAAAUGAAUGAGGAUAGAGACUCCUCAUUUCCUGCUUCGUCUCACAAGUACACUCUUCAGACGAAUGAUUCCGCGACAACACCUUCACCAUCGAAAUAAUCUUAGAGCGCAAUUGGCGAACUUGAGUAGCCACGAUCAUGACUGGCUGCUUCUUGUAAGUCAGAUCUUCGCUUCCUUCCACAUACUGAGGUUGCAACACAUGCGAAGGGUCCAAAAUGUAUUUCCUUAACAUCAAUGUGUGGAAUACCAAAUGCACGUGCGAGAAAUUCGGCGGCAAGCCCAGCUUGUAUGCCACCUCUCCAAUUCUAUCAACAAUCUCAAAGGGUCCCACAUAAUGAGGGGCCAAUUUGCCCUUCUUGCCAAACCGCAUUAUACCAUGCAUAGGAGACACCUUCAAGAACACAUAUUCCCCGACACUGAAUUCCUUGUGCUUCCACUUCGAAUCCGCAUAACUUUUCUGCCUACUGAAAGCUAUCUUCAGCCGCUCACAGAUAACCGAAUCUUUUCUGAAGUGAUCUGAACCAACUCUAGUUCUGCUAACUUCCGUUCGCCUACUUCUUCUCAACACACAGGAGAUAUGCACUUUUGGCCAUACAAAGCCUCAUAAGGUGUCAUCUCGAUGCUUGCAUGAUAGCUGUUAUUAUAGGCAAAUUCAAUCAACGGUAGAUACCAAUCCCAUUGACCACCAAAAUCUAUCACGCACAUCCGAAGCAUGUCCUCUAAAGUCUGAAUAAUCCUCUUUGACUGUCCGUCCGUCUGGGAGUGGAGAGCCGUACUGAAGUCCAACCUGGUACCAAGCUCUUCUUGUAGCUUUUUCCAAAAUCUUAAAGUGAACUAUGGUCCUCUGUCAGACACUAUGGAAACUGGGACGCCGUGAAGAUUGACAAUCCUUUCCAGAUACACUCAUGCAUACUUAGCCACAGAAUAGGUAGUCUUCACUAAAAGAAAAUGCACUGACUUAGUCAAUCGGUCCACAAUUACGCAGAUGGAGUCAUAACCAGCAGAAGUCUUAGGUAAACCCGAUACGAAAUCCAUAGUAAUCCUUUCCCAUUUCAACUAUGGUAUGGGAAGCGACUGCAAUAACGCUGACGGGUUCUGAUGCUCUAACUUAAUCUGCUGACACGUCAGACACUUGGAGACAAACUUUGCCACAUCCUUCUUCAUCCCACUCCACCAAUAAUUUUCUUUCAAAUGAUGAUACAUCUUGGUGGAGCCUAGAUGCACGCUGUAAGCUGUACAGUGAGCUUCUUCCAAAAUCUCCUUUCUGAGAUUAUCCACAUCGGGAAUACACAGCCUAGAGCCCAUCAUAAGGGUACCAUCAUAAUUUAUAAUAAAAUUAUUAGCUCGACCCUGCUACACUUCUUCCAAGAUUUUCUACAACUGCAGGUCCCGAUUCUGAGCUAUCCUGAUUCUGUCGACAAGCACAGACCUAACCCUGAAAUGUGCUAACAAUGCACCCGCUUCCAAUAUCUCCAUCUGCAGCCCUUGGUCGUACAGUUUGUGCAAAUCUCUAGUUAGCAGUCUCUUCUCUACACUGAUAUGAGCAAGACUAUCUACCGACUUCCUGCUCAAGGCAUCUGCCACAACAUUCGCCUUACCAGGAUGGUAAAGAAUAUUACAAUCAUAAUCCUUCAGAAGUUCUAAUCAUCUCCUCUGCCUCAGAUUUAAUUCCUUCUAUUGAAAAAUAUACUUUAAGCUUUUAUGAUCCGUAUAUAUCUCACACGUCUCCCAUAGAGAUAGUGCCUCCAAAUCUUCAAAGCAAAAAUUACUGCUGCCAUCUCCAAAUUGUGGAUCGGGUAAUUCUGUUCAUGCUUCUUCAACUGCCUGGAUGCAUAAGCUACUACCUUUCCAUUUUGCAUCAGACACAACCCAAACCCACUCUAGAAGCGUCACAAUAUACCAUGAAUCCACCAGUCCUAAAGGGUAAGGUCAAUACCGGAGCUGAAAUCAAACAGUCUUUUAGCUUCUAGAAGCUUCUCUCACAUGCGUCAGUCCACUGAAACCUGACAUUCUUCUGAGUCAGCUUAGCCAAAGGUGCUGCUAUCCUCGAAAAGUCUUGCACAAAUCUAGGCUAGUAGCCUGCCAACCCUAGGAAGCUAUGCACUUCAGUCACCGUGGUCAGUCCCUGCCAAUCAAUCAUUGUCUCCACUUUCUUGGGUCCACCUGAAUACCCUCUCUAGACACAACGUGCCCUAGAAAAGCAACGCUUUCUAACCAGAACUCGCACUUGGAGAACUUAGCGUAUAACUGAUGCUCUCUCAAGUUUGAAGUACCAUCCUCAAGUGCCACGCAUGCUCCUCUUCGCUUCUGGAGUAUACCAAGAUAUCAUCAAUGAAUACGAUGACGAAACGAUCCAGAAACUGCUUGAACACUCGAUUCAUCAAAUCCAUGAAAGCCGCAGGGGCAUUAGUGAGCCCAAACAACAUCAUCAGAAACUCAUAAUGCCCAUAACACGUCCUGAACGCCGUCUUUGACACGUUUUCACCGUGAAUCCUCAACUGGUGAUACCCUAAUCACAAAUCAAUCUUAAAAAAAUACACGGCUCCUUGAAAGUUGAUCAAAUAAGUCAUCGAUGUGGGAAAGCGGAUACUGGUUACGAAUUAUCACCUUAUUCAGUUGCCGGUAAUCGAUGCAGAGGCGCAAGGUACCAUCUUUCUUCUUCACGAACAGAACAGGAGCACCCCAAGGAGACGUACUAGGUCUAAUAAAACCCUUAUCUAGGAGGUCCUGCAACUGCUCCUUUAACUCUCUUAACUCAGCUGGUGCCAUUCGAUAGGGCGACAAAGAAAUAGGUGUUGUACCCGAUACCACGUCGAUGCAGAACUCUAUCUCUCUAUUGGGCGGCAAUCCUAGUAGUUCUUCUGAGAACACAUCAGGAAACUCGCAAACCACCUGAACGUCCUCGAGGCAACCUUUUCCUACAGCGAUAUCCCUAACCAAAGCCAGAUACCCCUAACAUCCACGAUGAAGCAUCCACCUAGCUGUAAUCGCUGACACGAGGUUUGAUGGAGUAGGUAUCUGCUCGCCUUUAAAAUAGAACUUUGAGUCUCCGAGAAUUCAAAAAGUCACUUGUUUCUCCUGGGAGUCCAACAUGGCGAAAUGCAUAGCUAACCAAUUCAUUCCUAAAAUCACAUCAGAAUCCAUUACAUCAAAAAGAUUUAGGUCAGCAACCGAAUCUCGACCCUCAAUAGACACUUGACACGACGGAAACACGACAUCGGUCUCUAAAGCAUCAUUUAAUGGUAUAGUGACCGACAUUAGAACUUAAAGUCUAACGGGCUGGAUAUCCAAUCUUAAAGCAAAACUAGGCAACAUGAAAGAAUGGGUAGCCACAAGGUCUAACAAAACUCUAGCUUUAGAAUAACAAACAAGAAUAAUACCUGACACAACAUUUGAAGCUCGUGCAUCCUGAGGAGUGUGAGGGUGAACACUCUCGCUUGCCUCCGGCCUGACUGCUGAGAGCCUGAAGCUUGACCUUGAACUUUGUCCCCAGAUCGGCCUCCUGUAGAUCUACCUCCAAAACUACGGCCCUACUGGUCGACAUACUGAGAUCCACCUUGAAAAAAUCCCGGAGCUGUAGGAAAAGCUGGUCGGGUCACACUGGCGGACGAGCCCUGUGGAAAAGCUGGCCGACUGAAGUAGCAAGGACACUCUCGAGCCAUAUGACCCAUCUCGCCACACCUAAAACAGGCUCCGCUAGAAGCUAGGCACGGUCCCUGAUGUGACCUGCCGCACAUUUGACAGGUGCUGGCCCCAGAACUAGAGCUGCUGUAGCAUGAACCCUGCCCACUACCACUGAAGCCCUGACCAGGUCUAAAUCCUCGGCUACCCUUCCUAUUGUGCCUACUCCUUCUAUGGAUACAGUGGCUUCUCUAUUCGAUCUACCGGUCGGUACCCUCGGAGUAGCCUCCACUACCGUAGUAUGGCACAACUGGCUGCGCACUGGACUGACCCUCAACCCUGGUCUUCUUUUUCCUACCAUCAUCAGUACCCUGACCAAACCCUCGCAGGGUCAUCUCCAUUUGUCUCGCCCUGUCAGUCACUUCUAGGAAGCUGCUCCUCUUAAACUGAACUAAGGAGACAAACUCUGGAUCGAGCCCUGAAAUAUACUUGUUGUUCUUCUGCUCCUCGGUCCCUACAGCAUAGGGCGCAUACCUGCUCAGUUGAACAAAUUGCCUGGUGUACUCUGCCACUGAUAGGUCUCCCUUAAUUAGCCUUUCAAAUCUUUCUCUAUACUCCUGCCUUACACUAAAAGGGAUGAAGUACUCCUCAAACCUAUCUUUGAACUACCUCCACGACAAUCCAUCUAGAAAGGGGCGAAUAUAAUCUCUGAACCACUAAGAUGUUAUCCCCUUCAAGAAAAAUCCGGCCAUCUUGAUGGUCCUCCUAUCAUAACAGUGCAAAUCAGAUGCCCUUUUCUCAACCUCAUCCGGGAAGUCCGAGACGUCCAGAGGGUCCCCAGCUAUCCAUCAAACUCCACAUGUCUUAACUUGGUGUACUCGGACAUGGGAGCAUUGUCCGGAUUCCUGAUACCAGACCCACUAGCACGGCUUCCUGAACCCUGGACAGCCUGCUGCUGUUGGAAGGCUAACAACUGCUCUAAGGCCCUCUGCAUCCCAGUCAUACCGAACACAAAAGCCUCCAUUAGGAUUCCACCAGCACCACGUACCUCUUGAGUCUCGCUCUGAUCCGGUUAGGCUACUGCUCGAGGCCUACCUCGCCUCCUAGUACCACGAGCUGGGGCCGGAGGGGCCAUCUGAGCAGAAAACUCAUCUUGGCCUUCCUGGGCUGAUGAUGCAGCUGAAGUCGCUCGGGUUCUCAGCAUUUGCAAGAGCUGAAAGUAAACAAGCUAUUAAACUCAACAGACUCUCUAACAUAUAGCGCAGAUACUAGAAUCAACGAAACAUGCAAGGACAGACUCGAUAUCCUAAUUUUCGCAGUAAUUAAGGAAGCUAACCUAGGUCGAAGGAAAACUAAACAUAGGCUCUGAUACCAACUUUGUCACGACCCAUUCUAUGGGCCUGUGAACAGCACCUAUGGAAUGAGUAGGCUUAAGGCCACCGAAUCUCGUAGUAAGCUUACAAACCAAUAAUUCAAAUAAACAGUUAAUAAAAUAUAAUUAAUCAUGACUGACAUGCCAUAAAUAAUUCUAUUAGGUCUUUAUAACAUCUCACGUCCAACAUGGACCAGAAUAAUCACAACAAUUUAAAAGUUCUCUACUGCGGAUAGUCUAGAGUAAAUAAUAACAAAAGUAUGGAAAUACAAGUUAUUUACAAAAAGUCCGAAGGAGAAGAAGUCGGACUGUCAAAAUGCAGGACGACGAAGAACUAACUGUCACCUAAAAAAUAAAAUUGAGACUGUCAGUCUCGGGAGUGAGCUAAAAUCAAAUAAUCUUGUGACUAUUGCAGUCUUCUUAGAAAAUAAUAAUUAUUACAAUCAGUAUAACAUACCAUGUACGUCAAAUACGAGUCAUAUUAUAAUCAUAUACCAUAAUCUUAAAAAAAAUACAUUUUAACAUUUGUGGGACGAGUAGCUCAGUAGAACCCCACCCCAAAUUACUAGCAGCCUUUAGGCUCUCUUAAUUCCAACAGGUCUGGCGCCCAGAGAGCGAAGCUCGACCAGGAUCCUUACAUCUAGCCUGAACAUUUGAUUCCCAACUAAGCCGGCGCCUAGAGAGCAUUGCUCGACCAGGGAUCUUUCUCCGGCAGUCAACUUUGACAGCCUAGAGAGUUAUACUCGACCAGGAGAAAAAUUCAUAAUAACCUUGUUACUUGUCUUUAAUCAUUACUGGUGCGCACGCGGUCCUGAUGUAACCCAUCAGGUGACAUGUUCUACUAAAGCCUCAUCCCAAUAUCAAAAUCAACAUAUAUGAUAAUAAUCAUAAUCUAACAAAAUCAUUCAACACAUAUCGAAAUAAAGAUUUAGAAAUUCGGAAAAAGCAAACAUGCAAUUUGUGUAGGGAAAUAAUAAUAAUGAUUGUAUUUAAU